CCCAUUCCGGCCGCGUGUCCCUGGCAGCGGAGCGGCGGCGGCGGCAGCGGUGCUGAGGAACAGGGAACAGCCAAAUGAGGGAGACCCGUGGAGAAGCCUUGGUGCCCAGAGGGUAUCCUGACCAGCAGCCUGGAGAGCUGCAGGCUUGAAGAUGCCAUCAGGAUUCAGAGGAAGAAGCUGACACUGACCAGACAGAAUCCUGUGUUUGAAUGGAAUUUAUGCAUCAUGUAUGAGGUGUGUGAAUAUGCAACAGGUUAUUGUUUUUAAGAGUUAAUCCUCGGUUAAUGUGUGUCCUUUUAUGGGCUUAUGCUGCCCAGAAAAAGGUACCUGGACAUCUGUUGCUCUUUGCUUUUGUUGUCUCAUAUUGUCCUAAAUCCUAAUUGUCCAAAUUACUAAUGCUCUAAUUAUAUUGCUAUUUUUAUAACCAUUUUAUUACUAUUAAACUUUUAAAAUUUUAAAAACAAGUGAUUGGCGUUUUUCACCCUUGGGUACCCUGGGUGCUGAAACGGGAACCCUGCACAGGCAGCACCCCUGGGCCCCUCUGACUCACCUGGGGAGCCCAGGGAAGGAACCUCUGGGAUUGCCCCAGCAGCCCAGAGAGAGGGGACACCAAUACACAUUGGGGCUGCAGGAGCCCAGACAGGAGGGAGCCCCUGAACUGCAAAGUAGGGAGACCAGAGAGGGGAACUCCUUGGUGGGUGUUUUUUUGCUGAAUUUUGGUGGUUUGGGUUUUUUUGAGGGUGGCUGAAUCCUGGUGGUCUGGAGGUUUUUAUGGACAUCAAACACCUGGUGAAUUCUAGAGAUGGAGUCAGGCAGGAGGAACAGCUAGUCCCCAAAAUCCCACUCUUGGCAUCCCUCAUCCCCAUCUGCAGUCCUCCCUCUAACAUCCCUAAGCCUCUGGGAAGAGCCCAAAGGGAUGGAAGUGCCUAAAACGCUGCUGAAGUGCCUGAGCUGCUCUCACCUGUGGAUGUUCCUGUCCACAAGCCUCUCCUGGUCAGUGCCACGGGGGGCUGGGAAGGAGUUUAGGGGAUCCUGAGAGGAUUGGAAGGGGUUUUGGUGGCUCUUGGCUCCAUUUGUGGAGCUGGGAAGGGGUUAAGGGGGCUCUGGAGGGGUCUGUGGGAUAGUUUUGGGAGUUUGGG